AGUGAACGCUGGCGGUAGGCCUAACACAUGCAAGUCGAACGGGAGCACAGUAAGAGCUUGCUCUUACGGGUGGCGAGUGGCGGACGUGUGAGGAAUACAUCGGAAUCUAUUUUUUCGUGGGGGAUAACGUAGGGAAUCUUACGCUAAUAGCGCAUACGACCUACGGGUGAAAGCAGGGGAUCUUCAGACCUUGCGCGAUUGAAUGAGCCGAUGUCUGAUUAGCUAGUUGGCGGGGUAAAGGCCCACCAAGGCGACGAUCCGUAGCUGGUACGAGAGGUUGAUCACCCACACGGAAACUUAGACACGGACCAGCCACCUACGGGAGGCAGCAGUGGGGAAUCUUGGACACUGGGCGCACUCCUAGUCCAGCCCUACCGCGUGGGUGAAGCAGGACUUCCGGUUGUAACGCCCUUUUGUUGGGAAAGAAAAGCAGAAGGUUAAUACCCCGCUGUACUGACGGUACCAAGUGACUAAGCACCGGCUAACUUCGUG
rnacentral:rRNA from 1 species